UAAAAUUUGUCUCUUUUCAAAGAACUUGAA
rnacentral:piRNA from 1 species